rnacentral:rRNA from 1 species
GACGAACGCUGGCGGCGUGCUUAACACAUGCAAGUCGAGCGGUAAGGCCCUUUCGGGGUACGACGAGCGGCGAACGGGUGAGUAACACGUGGGUGACCUGCCCUCAGCUCUGGGAGUAAGCCCGGGAAACUGGUCUAAUACUGGAUAUGACUCCACGGUGCAUGUCGUGGGGUGGAAAGCCUUGUGCGGCUGAGGAUGGGCCCGCGGCCUAUCAGCUUGUUGGUGGGGUGAUGGCCACCAAGGCGACGA